AGUGAACGCUGGCGGUAGGCCUAACACAUGCAAGUCGAACGGCAGCACAGUAAGAGCUUGCUCUUACGGGUGGCGAGUGGCGGACGGGUGAGGAAUACAUCGGAAUCUACUUUUUCGUGGGGGAUAACGUAGGGAAACUUACGCUAAUACCGCAUACGUCCUACGGGUGAAAGCAGGGGAUCUUCGGACCUUGCGCGACUGAAUGAGCCGAUGUCGGAUUAGCUAGUUGGCGGGGUAAAGGCCCACCAAGGCGACGAUCCGUAGCUGGUCUGAGAGGAUGAUCAGCCACACUGGAACUGAGACACGGUCCAGACUCCUACGGGAGGCAGCAGUGGGGAAUCUUGGACAAUGGGCGCAAGCCUGAUCCAGCCAUACCGCGUGGGUGAAGAAGGCCUUCGGGUUGUAAAGCCCUUUUGUUGGGAAAGAAAAGCAGCAGGUUAAUACCCCGCUGUUCUGACGGUACCCAAAGAAUAAGCACCGGCUAACUUCGUG
rnacentral:rRNA from 1 species